CAUUGUAGGGAUACGACAGUUGAUAGGACAUUAACUGCAACGGAUUGGCAAUGGACACCUUUAGGAUAAAGGUUAGGAACAACAUCAGGAUGAUGUAAAGGACACCGCUCACGGAACAAGUGAUGUGCGCUAACGAGGAUUGUUAGCUUUCAGGAUGAUAGGACACCGCUAGGACGGCGAAGUAAAGGAAAGAGCUGAAGGAUUACAGCCACUAUUAUGGAUGAUGCAUGGAGCAUUAAUUAGUAGCCGGACUGCUGCGAGUAAGACCCUAGCCCUGACACUUCGGUGUCGGGGCUUUUCUUUAU
rnacentral:other from 1 species